rnacentral:rRNA from 1 species
UACGUAGGGGGCAAGCGUUGUCCGGAUUUAUUGGGCGUAAAGAGCGUGUAGGCGGCCAGACAGGUCAGCUGUGAAAACUCGAGGCUCACCUCGAGACGUCGGUUGAAACCGUCUGGCUAGAGUCCGGAAGAGGAGAGUGGAAUUCCCGGUGUAGCGGUGAAAUGCGCAGAUAUCGGGAAGAACACCCGUGGCGAAGGCGGCUCUCUGGGACGGUACUGACGCUGAGACGCGAAAGCGUGGGGAGCGAACAGG